CUACUUAACCACCUACUAGGCACAUCAUGUAAUUUCUUUGGUUUUGCAUAAAGUAUGCUUAUAUUUGGACAACACAUAGUUUUGCUGUUCUCUUACAGGUGGUUUCUUGUAGGUGCUUUUUCUUAGUUUCGUGUUGUUUUGCUGGUGGUUGCUUGCUAACUUUUAGGACUUGAUCAGGUUUGACUAUAUUGAACGAGAUUGCCGAGCUCGUGGCCUUGGUUGCAAUUUUGAAUUUCAGAGGUUAAUGGAAUGCAUUUUUGGAUUGUGUAUUUUAUAUAUUUUUUCUUGCUUUUUAUUCUUUUCCUUUGUAUAUGUUUGGAUACUAGAAACUAAGUUUGAAAAUCUUGGAUGGUUUUGAAUCACAUAUAUAGCAGCACGACCUAUGUUGCCUUGAAAGAAAUUUCGAUAAAAGACGGGAUAUGCAAUCUUCAGAAGAAGGUAUUUGAUGUCCUCUACCGGAUAACAGACAUCCCUUCUUAGAAGCUUACAAGAUCAAGAUAAUUCUUGAAGAGAUGGAUUUCCUUAGUGUUCUUCAAAUGAUUCCUUCAUGUUUUCAACUAGCGAUGACAUAACAUUGGUCUAUUGGGCUCCACUGUGGAUGGACCAUUUCAUAAUAUCUCCCAAGAACUCCGUAGCAGCCAUGAGAUGAAACAUGAACUUCAUUCUUAGUUGAGAUCCAAGAGGCAAGGACACAAGACUUAAUAAUUUGGAAAAUUAAGUCUUAUUUUUUAAUCAUAAUUACUUGUUUUGUUUAGACUUUAGAUGAUAUUUCCAAGCUCGUGCUUGAAUUAUUUGAAGUGCCUAUGAUGGCUUGGUAGUGUUCUUUUGUGUCAUAUUGUAAGAUUCAAGCUUUUAUUGAAAUAUGUUUGUAGAAUUAUCUGAGGCCUGAUAUCAAGAGAGGAAAAUUCUCCAGUGAAGAAGAGUGGAUCAUUGUCAACCUUCAUUCGGUUGUUGGAAAUAAAUUCUCACAUAAGAAAACUAUGUUCGCAAGAACGACAUUCUUGAUGUGCAGCUAUUGCAAGUGACACAGCAAGGCUCGGACAUGUUACUGUGGUAUGGGGAUUAUAGGACCUGAUCUAUUGACAUCCUUGUAUGCAUCAUGUAUAGGCCUUAAAUUGCUUAACUUCUAACUGUAUUUGGCUGUGCCUAGAGGACUUGGUCUAUUUCGUGUUUGGAU